AAGCCCAAUUUUUUUUCUGAGCUUGAUAUGAAAUCAGAAAACCAUCAAAUCCACAUGAAGGAUGGACAUUAAAGGAACAUUAAUUGAAGUUUUUUAUGGUUAUUCAAUAAUUCCCAUUUUCGUUGAUUUUCUUUAUCCGAUCAAUUCUAAAUUGAAUUUAGGAACAAUUCACUAUUGAAAAAUAGAUAGUGUAUUUACAUUUUGCAGUGCCCUGCGCCAAAAAUGAC
rnacentral:lncRNA from 1 species